rnacentral:rRNA from 1 species
UCUGUUUGAUCCUGACAGCGGUCAUACGCUUGUCUUAAAGAUUAAGCCAUGCAUGCGAUAGUAUUAGUUGGUAAUACAGCGAAACUGCGAACGGCUCAUUAUAUCUGUUAUAAUUCCCAUGAUUGUGCGUUGUGUAGACGGAUACAUGUGGCAAAUCUAGAAUCAAUACGUGCUUGGAGGCCCGACUUUUGUGGGAGGGCCGCACUUAUUAGACCUAAACCAGUAGGCUCUCGGGCCUUGUUUCGGUGAGUCAUAGUAAUUGAGCGAAUCGCAUAGCCCUCGGGCGGCGAUGAAUCAUUCAAGUUUCAGCCCCAUCAGUUGUCGACGGGAGGGUAUUGGCCUCCCGUGACCGUUACGGGUGACGGGGAAUUAGGGUUCGAGUCCGGAGAGGGAGCCUGAGAGACGGCUGCCACAUCCAAGGAAGGCAGCAGGCGCGUAAAUUACUGCAAGUUUACAGAACGAAGUAGUGACGAGAAAUAGCAGUGAGGUGCGCUGUGCGUAUCUCGACUGAAAUGAGAGCGAUUUAAAACCCCCAUCGAGGAUCAAUUGGAGGGCAAGUCUGGUGCCAGCAGCCGCGGUA